AGCUUGCAUGGUGGAUCACAACAUAGCAUAGAGAUGAUUCAUGGACUGGAGACUUUCUGCACAUGCAGGGUCCAAGGUCUCUGAAAUUCAUCCAGCUUCACAGACCUGCUUCCUACCUGUGCUCAUAUCGGGAAAGAUGCCAAAACAGCUGGGAGAUGAAUUAUCUAUUUAUUUAUUCAAUACAAAUGCUUCCUUCUCUGACCUGGCGAAAUCUGAUAUAUUUUGCUUGGUUCUUAUGAAAAUCAUUGUGAAUCUUUCUGCCUCAAUUAUUUCUCCUCACGGAAGGACUGGAGAUCAGCCCUGUGAUUUGAUUAAUUGCAG